rnacentral:rRNA from 1 species
UACGAAGGGGGCUAGCGUUGCUCGGAAUCACUGGGCGUAAAGCGCACGUAGGCGGCUUGUUAAGUCAGGGGUGAAAUCCUGGAGCUCAACUCCAGAACUGCCUUUGAUACUGGCGAGCUUCGAGUCCGGGAGAGGUGAGUGGAACUGCGAGUGUAGAGGUGAAAUUCGUAGAUAUUCGCAAGAACACCAGUGGCGAAGGCGGCUCACUGGCCCGGUACUGACGCUGAGGUGCGAAAGCGUGGGGAGCAAACAGG